rnacentral:rRNA from 1 species
ACGUAAGGUAAUAUAGGAGACACAGUGCGAGCGCUAUGACGAUACGACCUGAGGCUGAAGCUGGACAACAGAUAAUACCUGUAUCACCCUAACAUGAUAUAGUUUGCUUCAUAGGGUCAUCCGCACAAACCAAUAGUAUCCACUGGGAUACGUUCGCAAGAUGAACUCAAAGGAAUGACGGGACCCGCACAGCGGUGGAGCAUGUGGUUAAUUCGAAGCAACGCGAAGACCCUUACCAAAUCUUGACAUCCCGGUGACAAAGUAUGUAAUGUACUCUCUCUUCGGAGCAUCGGUGACAGGUGGUGCAUGGUUGUCGUCAGCUCGUGUCGUGAGAUGUUGGGUUAAGUCCCGCAACGAGCGCAACCCUUAUCUUUAGUAGCCAGCAUUUUGGAUGGGCACUCUAGAGAGACUGCCCGGGUGAACCGGGAGGAAGGUGGGGAUGACGUCAAAUCAUCAUGCCCCUUAUGAUUUGGGCUACACACGUGCUACAAUGGCGUAAACAAAGGGAAGCAAUCAGGUGACUGUGAGCAAAUCUCAAAAAUAACGUCUCAGUUCGGAUUGUAGUCUGCAACUCGACUACAUGAAGCUGGAAUCGCUAGUAAUCGCGAAUCAGAAUGUCGCGGUGAAUACGUUCCCGGGUCUUGUACACACCGCCCGUCACACCAUGGGAGUUGGGAAUGCCCGAAGUCUGUGACCCAACCGUAAGGAGGGGGCAGCCGAAGGCAGGCUCGAUAACUGGGGUGAAGUCGUAACAAGGUAACC